AACCCGUGAUGAGGGCAAUCUCUCAAAUACUCCUUGAAUCGCACCCAUGCUUUGCAGAAUGAUUCCUUCUCUUCUUGUGAGAAGGUGACGAUUUGAUUCCUUAUCUU
rnacentral:snoRNA from 1 species